GAGAGAGCAACCAAGAUCUGUUUACCUGCAUCGGAAUUUACUGGAGCCAUAAACUGGCUCGAACAUUUAAAUUAUAAUUUUGGUGACUUUCUAGUGGCUGAGUGUGGACUAGUAUACGAGUGAGACUCUCUUAGGAGCUGAAGUCUUUGAGAGUCUGCGUCCUUUCAUGAACUUUCCUUCCGGGAUCCUUACCAGGUUCUUUCUGUGAGGAUCUGAGAAAAAGCCCAUCACAGCUCUGGCAGGAGAAAGAGACGAGGAACCAGAGUCUUCUUUAUAACAAAUGCCUUUUCUCCAGAUCACGCUUGAUCAUGGGGAGCUGAAACCACAGAAAGUGAAACCAUGGAUAAGGAAAGACCACUGUGCUCACCAGCUCUUCAAUGGGAAGCCUACUAUGUUAAAUCUUAAUUAUUUAUGGUUUAAGAAAUAUUACAUGUGAAAAUUUAAAAAGCAAAACUGGAAAAUGAAAAUAAAAUGAGUACACUCAAAUUUAGAAAACAAGCACUUUGGUUCGUCUGAAGGGACAAUCCCAUUCCUGUCAUGUCACUCUAGGCUCUUCACGUGUAUAUUUAAACAAGAGACUGACCAACAUAGAGAACAAAAUGUUGACCUAUCAGUUUAAGAAAGAUGCCGCUAUUCUUAAAGUGACCAUUUAUAUUAUUGUUACAUUGUAAAAAUUGGCAACUUGUCAUUAAAUUUUAUUUCAGUGAAAUCAUUGAGUACUUAGAAACACUGCUUUCUCUAGAGUUAACACAAUGUGGGAGAAAUUAGAACACUACGGGAAAAUAUAUCCUUAAGUCCAUUCCAUUCAAAGGUCCUAGGUGAGAUUUCGGUAAAUGUUGGAUCAUCAAUUCACAGUGAAAUAUUCUAAUAACUCUCAAAGUGUCAACAUUGUUAAUUCAAAACAGAGAAGAAUGCUUUAGAUUUUUGGAAAUGUCAAUAGUAGAAUGGACAUUUUGUUUUAAAAAUAUAAGUUACUUAUAAGUAUAUUUUUUCAUGUGGAAUUAAGUUGUACUUUCUUGUGAAUGUGAGGCUUAGGGGGACCGGAAUUAUAUGACUGAUUGAGCAUUACGAUUUGGAAAAUUUUAUAGAUGGUAUUAAUUAACUAUACUGACCAUUAAAGAACCUUAGUAUUUCUUCUGUACAGUGUCUUAUUUUCAAUUAUAUCUUUGAAAUCAUAAUUCUUUUGCAGAAACCAUUAGUCCUAAGAAUCAGAGAACAUUCAGAUUGGUUAAACACUUAGGACACUGUGAUAGUUAAUUUUAUGCGUCGACUUGAGUGGAUCAAGGGAUGCCCAGAUAUCUGGUUAAACGUUAUUUCUGGGUGUAUUUCUGAGGGUAUUUCAAUUGGUAGGCUGAGCAAAGUGUUUUGCCCUCUCCAAUGUGGGUGGGCAUAAUUCAAUCUGUUGAGGGCCCGAAUGGAAAAAAAAGUGAAAGAAUGGAAGAUUCGCCCUCCUCUGCCUGUUUACGCUGGGACGUUGAUCUUCCCCUGCUCUCAGCUCUCACAGCUCGCAGGCCUUCAGUCUCAGACUGGAAUCUACACCAUCAGCUAUAUGGCUUUUAAACACCACCAUUGGCCUUCCUGGGUCUCCAGCUUGCAGAUGACAGAUUGUGGGAGUUCUCAGCCUUCGUAAUUAUGUGAUCCAAUACCUUAUAAUAAAUCCCUUUCUAUCUAUAUAUAUCUUAUCAGUUCUGUUGCUCUGGAAACCUCUAAUAUGGGCAUAUUUACACAAUUGAAUACUAUGUAACUACCCAGAAUCAUGAUGCAUUAAAAAAAAUUUAUUUUCAUAGAUAAAGACCCAGAAAACAUUAAUUAGUGUCUGCUGUCUUUCAUUCAGAGGGGGUUAUUUCUC
ensembl:lncRNA